rfam:Botryotinia fuckeliana T4 unplaced genomic scaffold BcT4_SuperContig_F_V3__V4, whole genome shotgun sequence.
CCGUCUUCUACCUCGCUCGGCCAGCUUCCCCCCAAAGCCGGUCUUGAGCUGGAUACCUCACCCACGGAUCGUCAAACCAUCCUCGAGUGUGCGUACAAGACAAGAGCGAACCCAGCAACGACCUUUGAGUGCGGACCCUUCUUAUGCCAUAUAGGAGAUGUUUCGCAAUUUGUAGUUGCGACAUCC